CCGGCUGGGGUAUUGCAUAAGCAGGAGGCGAGUGCAGCGGCAAAAGCUCAAAUUUGAAAUCUGGCUCUUUCAGAGUCCGAGUUGUAAUUUGAAGAAGGUAUCUUUGGGUCUGGCUCUUGUCUAUGUUUCUUGGAACAGAACGUCACAGAGGGUGAGAAUCCCGUGCGAUGAGAUGAUCCAGGCCUAUGUAAAGUUCCUUCGAAGAGUCGAGUUGUUUGGGAAUGCAGCUCUAAGUGGGUGGUAAAUUCCAUCUAAAGCUAAAUAUUGGCGAGAGACCGAUAGCGAACAAGUACAGUGAUGGAAAGAUGAAAAGAACUUUGAAAAGAGAGUGAAAAAGUACGUGAAAUUGUUGAAAGGGAAGGGCUUGAGAUCAGACUUGGUAUUUUGUAUGUUACUUCUUCGGGGGUGGCCUCUACAGUUUAUCGGGCCAGCAUCAGUUUGGGCGGUAGGAGAAUUGCGUUGGAAUGUGGCACGGCUUCGGUUGUGUGUUAUAGCCUUCGUCGAUACUGCCAGCCUAGACUGAGGACUGCGGUUUAUACCUAGGAUGUUGGCAUAAUGAUCUUAAGUCGCCCGUCUUGAACCACGGGACCACACCGUCCCGCUGCCCCGAAAC
rnacentral:rRNA from 1 species